GACGAACCGUGCGAACGUUAUUCGGAAUCACUGGGCUUAAAGCGCGUGUAGGCGGGACGGCACGUCGGUCGCUGAAAUCCCCCGGCUUAACCGGGGAACGGGCGUCGAUACGACCGUCCUGGAGGGGCGUAGGGGGACCUGGAACUUCCGGUGGAGCGGUGAAAUGCGUUGAGAUCGGAAGGAACGCCCGUGGCGAAAGCGAGGUCCUGGACGCCUACUGACGCUGAGACGCGAAAGCCAGGGAGCGGAACGGG
rnacentral:rRNA from 1 species